UACGAAGGGUGCAAGCGUUAUUCGGAUUUACUGGGCGUAAAGCGCGCGCAGGCGGAUGAGUAAGUCAGAUGUGAAAUCUCGGGGCUCAACCCCGAAACUGCGUCUGAAACUAUUGAUCUAGAGUUUUGGAGGGGGAAGUGGAAUUUCGCAUGUAGGGGUAAAAUCCGUAGAGAUGCGAAGGAACACCAGAGGCGAAGGCGACUUCCUGGCCAAAUACUGACGCUGAGGCGCGAAAGCGUGGGGAGCAAACAGG
rnacentral:misc_RNA from 1 species